rnacentral:lncRNA from 1 species
GGGGGAGAGACUGCUGGAGGCUCCCAGGGAGGAGAUUCAGGCUGCCUGGAUGUCAGCCCAGCAGGGUGGACGGGAGACAAAACCCAGGCUGACCAUUGACUUAAGAUUACUGGCCUCCAGUUGCUCUACCAGGGGCUUCUGCAAAGAAAUGGGACCCAGCUGGAGUUCAGCGUUUAGUGGCUGAGGUGAUGUUGCCCUGGGAUUCAAGGAGACCCAUCUUCCUCCUGCAAUGCACCAACAACAGUUCGAGUACGGCGCUCACAUCCUCCUGCCCCCUUGGGGGUUGCUGUGGGAACACCCUGAAAUGCGGAUCCUGGAUGCCAUUUUUGGGAAAAAGGCUGAGGAUCAUUCGGAAGGAACCUGACAAUCAAACUGCAGGACCCAGUGAUGUCACACAGCAGAAGGCAGCCUGCUGCACAGAGCAGGUCGGAGGCCACGGGGGCUGCUGCUCUUCCUCCUGAGCGAGUUCAGGCCGUGUUGCUGUGAGGACCUCAGAGAAGGGGCCUGGGGUCUGUUUAUGGGUGAAGCACCCCCCUAAGGAGAAGGGAACCACUGUGGGCAGACCCUCCCCAUAAGGUGUCUUUCUGUUGUCCGGCCUGCGGAGUCCCCUUGCUGAUCUGCUCUGCCUUGAAGGGCACAGAGGUUGCUGCUGCUGCCGCC